rnacentral:rRNA from 1 species
UACGGAGGGGGCUAGCGUUGUUCGGAAUUACUGGGCGUAAAGCGCACGUAGGCGGAUCAGCCAGUCAGGGGUGAAAUCCCGGGGCUCAACCCCGGAACUGCCCUUGAUACUGCUGGUCUGGAGUUCGAGAGAGGCGAGUGGAAUUCCGAGUGUAGAGGUGAAAUUCGUAGAUAUUCGGAGGAACACCAGUGGCGAAGGCGGCUCGCUGGCUCGACACUGACGCUGAGGUGCGAAAGCGUGGGGAGCAAACAGGAUUAGAUACCCG